rnacentral:rRNA from 1 species
GUAAGGAAUAUUGGUCAAUGGGGGCAACCCUGAACCAGCCAUGCCGCGUGAAGGAUGAAGGCGUUAUGCGUUGUAAACUUCUUUUGUAUGGGAAGAAUGACAGGGAUUCAUCCUUGGAGAGACGGUACCAUACGAAUAAGCACCGGCUAACUCCGUGCCAGCAGCCGCGGUAAUACGGAGGGUGCAAGCGUUAUCCGGAAUCACUGGGUUUAAAGGGUACGUAGGCGGUUAAUUAAGUCAGUAGUGAAAGACUGUCGCUCAACGACGGAUGUGCUAUUGAUACUGGUUAACUUGAAUCAGGUUAGAGUUGGCGGAAUGGGUCAUGUAGCGGUGAAAUGCUUAGAUAUGACUUGGAACACCGAUAGCGAAGGCAGCUCACUAAGCAAAUAUUGACGCUGAGGCACGAAAGCGUGGGGAUCAAACAGGAUUAGAUACCCCUGUAGUCC